rnacentral:rRNA from 1 species
UACGGAGGGUGCGAGCGUUGUCCGGAAUCACUGGGCGUAAAGGGCGCGUAGGUGGCGCGGGCAGUCAACGGUGAAAGUUCGGGCUCAACCCUGAAUCGGCCGUCGAUACUCCCGAGCUGGAGCACUGUAGAGGCUCAUGGAAUUCCGGGUGUAGCGGUGGAAUGCGUAGAGAUCCGGAAGAACACCGGUGGCGAAGGCGGUGAGCUGG